rnacentral:rRNA from 1 species
AGCGAACGCUGGCGGCAGGCUUAACACAUGCAAGUCGAGCGGGCGUAGCAAUACGUCAGCGGCAGACGGGUGAGUAACGCGUGGGAACGUACCUUCUGGUUCGGAACAACACAGGGAAACUUGUGCUAAUACCGGAUAAGCCCUUACGGGGAAAGAUUUAUCGCCGAAAGAUCGGCCCGCGUCUGAUUAGCUAGUUGGUAGGGUAACGGCCUACCAAGGCGACGAUCAGUAGCUGGUCUGAGAGGAUGAUCAGCCACAUUGGGACUGAGACACGGCCCAAACUCCUACGGGAGGCAGCAGUGGGGAAUAUUGGACAAUGGGGGCAACCCUGAUCCAGCCAUGCCGCGUGAGUGAUGAAGGCCCUAGGGUUGUAAAGCUCUUUUGUGCGGGAAGAUAAUGACGGUACCGCAAGAAUAAGCCCCGGCUAACUUCGUGC